rnacentral:rRNA from 1 species
GCGAACGCUGGCGGCAGGCUUAACACAUGCAAGUCGAGCGGGCACUUCGGUGUCAGCGGCAGACGGGUGAGUAACACGUGGGAACGUACCCUUCGGUUCGGAAUAACGCUGGGAAACUAGCGCUAAUACCGGAUACGCCCUUUUGGGGAAAGGUUUACUGCCGAAGGAUCGGCCCGCGUCUGAUUAGCUAGUUGGUGGGGUAAUGGCCUACCAAGGCGACGAUCAGUAGCUGGUCUGAGAGGAUGAUCAGCCACACUGGGACUGAGACACGGCCCAGACUCCUACGGGAGGCAGCAGUGGGGAAUAUUGGACAAUGGGCGCAAGCCUGAUCCAGCCAUGCCGCGUGAGUGAUGAAGGCCUUAGGGUUGUAAAGCUCUUUUGUCCGGGACGAUAAUGACGGUACCGGAAGAAUAAGCCCCGGCUAACUUCGUG